CAGCCACGCAGUGAGCAUAAAACGAACUAUUCUUUCGUCUUUUACUAAAGAAUAUUGUGAGCGCGCUGUAAUUACUGGCAUACGCCCAUUUUUGGAGGGGUCUAUCUUCUUUGAAGACCC